AGCAGAACUGGAACUGCAACUGGAACUCUGCGCUGCGCUGCAUCCUGUCUCCUGGCUGCCUCCUUUUGGGCCUCUCCAAACUGUCCCUGCGCUGGCACAACAACACAUUCGUCAUUCGUAAGCGAUUCACACACCCAGUCCAAGCGCGUGGCACAAUCUGUCAAACGUCAUUAUCUCUGUGCUAGCUGCACGUGUAGCUUCAGUCACAGCGUCACACAACAUUUCACGCCCCGUGCCACGUUCCACAGUUUUCAAGUAGCCGCCGCCACGGCCACUGCCGCUGCAAUUUCAUUUUCUCUCUCGGUUCAAAGAGGGGAAAGUGGCAGCUGCAGCCAGCAAAGUACAGUCCGUACCCAUGGAGAACGUACAAUUGAGGCGACACUCGGACAGGUUCUACAUUUUUUGACAGCCUCUCAAGUGUCAAGGCGGAGAUGGCAGCCGAUAAGCAGAACUCAAGUGUCAAUGUUCAGCACAAAGAAAUAUGCAAAUAAUAGACAAUUUGCCACUGUAACAGCAGAAGAAUAUUUAUGAUUCAAAAAUGUGUUUCUAUGUGGUUGAGUGAUGGG
rnacentral:lncRNA from 1 species